GAGGAUAUAGCUCAGUGGUAGAGUGUGUGCUUAGCAUGCACAAGGUCCUGGGUUCUAUCCCUGGUAUCUCCA
rnacentral:tRNA from 1 species